GGAGGGAUGGCCGAGUGGUCGAAGGCGGCGGUCUUGAAAACCGUUGAGCAGCAAUGUUCCGGGGGUUCGAAUCCCUCUCCCUCCG
rnacentral:tRNA from 1 species